CAGUUUUAAGAAUUUGUUGAUUGUUAGAUUAAGGAAGUAAGAAUCUGCAAGGUUCAACUGUAAACAAAUGACCAACAAAUGUCAUUCCCAAGAACCUAAUCGGCAACGCUAAUGAAAUAAGAACCCCAGGAUAGGAGCCAAUACUCUCUGCAAUCAAACCCCACUCCACACAGUUGAGGGGGGUGCUUUGCUGAGCUGAGCAAAUUUACUGAACUCUGUCUGGUGCAGCCACGUGAAAAAUCAAAAGGAGAGAAGGGAGCAUUUUUCAGGCUCAAAUCAUAGUAAACUCAGCCGAUGCAAUCACGUCCUAUUUCCUCGUUUUCUGUCUCUCUGCAGGAAGCCUCGUCUUCCACGAGCAUUUGGCAUUCUCAAGGGGCUUUGAACACAUUUUUCAGAACACAGCAUUCAUACCAUUUUAUUAAAAUUCCUCUCCAGUCAUAAGGCACCAAGUUUUGCUAGGAAUUGGCAAUUAGGAAAUUUAAGAGGUAUAUCCUAUUUCUAAGAUAAAGAGGGAUGACAAGUAAAAACUGGGAAAUAACUCAUACCUUGUGAGUUUAAGAGUGUUAUAUGUAUGCAUAUGAAUUCAGAUCCUAAGUCUUCACACUGAGCCAAGAAAAAGGAGGGGUUGUUUGAAGAAUUUCUUUAAAAAGAAACAGAAUAAAUCUUGCACGUAAAGAGCUCUGUCGCUGCCAAGCAGUCUUCUCUGCUUCAGAGCUGGUGAAAGAACGCCUGCCUGAUAUAGAAACCCACUAGGGCGGCUAGCUGUCAGGGGCACCUUCAUCCUGGAGCUUCUCUGAGAACUGAGCAGAAGCCGGGGCUUAUUUG
rnacentral:lncRNA from 1 species